CAAUAUGAUCGUGAAUGGUGACUGAAUAUUUAUGAAAUUCUCAGGUCCAUUCCAGUGGAGUCAUCCAAUGUUUUCACCCGUAUCGGGAUUCUGUAUCGGCGAAAAUGCCACCUAAAUAACGGACGGCUAAUGACACAAUUCGUUCUGGCAUUAUCUGAGCUAUGUCCUUAUCUGCGGUUUCGAAAGGCAUUGAUUUGUAUACAACCGAUACGCGAAUAUAUCGGGGGUCCUCCAAAAGAGGAAUUUUCGUUAUCUCCGGCAUGUCUGUCGGCACAAAAGCCUUCGUCCCCCCGGCCAAGGAGCGCCGAAAACAAAAUGCCGAGUGAAAUAUCUGGGAUGCCUUUCGCGUGGUAGCCAAAAAUCCUGCGGACUGCAGAUGAUCUAGAAAUAAAUAAAGUGUAUCUAUCUGGCUCAACGUGAAACGUAAAUAAACGUAUAAAAUUACUCUUGUACCGAUCUGGAACUGACGCUCGUGUCGCCAAGCUGUCUAUGAGUGCGUCUCACCGUUGGCUGGGUGUCUACCAAAAGUUGGAUUUGUGUUGUUGUUGUUAUCAGCAGGGGGUGAAGCUGUAAACCGCAGAAUAGCCACCCUCACAAAAGCGGCAACACAUUAGCGGUAGUUUGAGUGAAAUGUAUCCAAACUUUGUGACACAUGUCAGUAAGUAAUGUUGGAGAAGUACUGCAAUGGCUGUGGUGUUAUUUAUGGAAUUCCACAAGUUUUUUUCGAUCGAUUGUGGAACAAGAAUGAAAAAAUGUGAAAUAAUAAAUAUUAUGUCCAGAUAGAAUCACGAGUAGAAGCAUCACCUUCAACCUAAAAAGAAUAAUUUUCUGGAAGCAACAGACUGAAGAAAUAAGCAAAAUGAAUGCAUUGAAACAAAUUAAAUUAUGUUUUUGCCACUCACACAAAUUUUGUUGUUUACGGAUCUAUUUUGUAAUUUUGUAAAAUUUUUUGUAUGAAAAAACAAAUAUGUAUUUAUUCAGUGUUACAGCAGUGCUGGAAGAUAACAUUGGCUUUGGAAUAUGUUUUUUGUCUUUUCCUCUAGAAUUUUUUCUGAAUGUCAUUAGUUCAAUAUUCUUUGAAGUAAAUUUGUCGAUUCUUUCAUUGAAAGCAAAUUUUGAGAAAAUUUUCUACCAAUACCACUGCUCUUGUCAAUAAAAAAACGUACAAAUAAAAAUCAUACCCGAACU